rnacentral:rRNA from 1 species
UACGAAGGGUGCAAACGUUGCUCGGAAUUAUUGGGCGUAAAGCGCACGUAGGCGGCUUGGCAAGUCGGAUGUGAAAUCCCUCGGCUCAACCAAGGAAGUGCAUCCGAAACUGCCGAGCUUGAGUACUUAAGAGGAUCGCGGAAUUCCCGGUGUAGUGGUGAAAUGCGUAGAUAUCGGGAGGAACACCAGUGGCGAAGGCGACUACCUGGCCUGUUCUUGACGCUGAGGCGCGAAAGCUAGGGGAGCAAACGGG